GAUGAAGAACGCAGCGAAAUGCGAUACGUAAUGUGAAUUGCAAAUUCAGUGAAUCAUGGAGUCUUUGAACGCACAUUGCGCCCCCUGGUAUUCCGGGGGGCAUGCCUGUCCGAGCGUCAUUGCUGCCCUCAAGCACGGCUUGUGUGUUGGGCCCCGUCCUCCGAUUCCGGGGGACGGGCCCGAAAGGCAGCGGCGGCACCGCGUCCGGUCCUCGAGCGUAUGGGGCUUUGUCACCCGCUCUGUAGGCCCGGCCGGCGCUUGCCGAUCAACCCAAAUUUUUAUCCAGGUUGACCUCGGAUCAGGUAGGGAUACCCGCUGAACUUAAGCAUAUCAAUAAGCGGAGGA
rnacentral:misc_RNA from 1 species